rnacentral:lncRNA from 1 species
ACAUAUAUGGAAUGAAAUCUACUGACGUCAUUGACCUUCUGCUAUCUUGCCUUGGCAAAAGUCUUGAUAUGAAUAUCACCACGGGAAUUUCCAUCUGGGGUUCGAUGCGUUGAGGAAUUCCAUUUUUUGACAUCUGAUACAUCCACCUUCCCUUGCUGCUUAAACACGAGAAAAACUAUUCUCUGGAGACCCGCUGAAAAGAAUGGGUUUCUUAGAACAACCAAAUAACAGCUGGAAGCAAAAUAAACAAGUAUUGUCUUUAUAUGAUGGCUCUAAGUGUCAAGAUGUUGGAGCAGCAUCAAAAAAGGCAACCUCUGUGCAAUCCCUUCUCCCUCGUGUCAGUGCUGAGAAGGAUGUAGAUACCUUUCAUAACCUUAUCCAGACUGCCUGCAACAUCAAUAAGUAAUUACAGUGACUGCAACAAUAUGGGUGACUUCAUACCCUGACCUCAACCUUGGAAUUUGAAGUUUGAGGUGUCUUGGAGAUUAAUGUCUGCCACAGCUCUCAUUCUAAUUGGAAUUCGGUCUGAGCUACCAUCAUGACAGCGAGUUACCUUAUGGGCACUGCCUGAAUCGUCAAUAGCUGUCAAUCUGUUUGCCGGCGUGUUAAGAGUAUUAUUAUUUGAGAAUGAGGACAUAGUUAAUAAAAAAUAUAGCUCAAUAUUGUAUUUUAACAAAUCAAAUAUUGGUUAAAAGUUGUUGUAUUUUGACAGACGAAAAUCACACUUUUCUGAUUUAUUCAUGUAAAUGCAAGUUUUGGAUCCCCACUCUGUACAAUGAGAGGGCAGAAAUUACUCCCCCAAUGGGGUCCAGGGGCUGGAACAUAAUUUUGUGGGGUCUGCGAAAGACGAAACAGUCUGGAUAAUAACUUUGGAAAAAACUGAGAUUCAUUACUCAAUCUAGAAUGGUUACUCGAUACACUGCAAACCUUCUUUUAAAAUCAUCAUGAGUUAUGUACCUCAAUUUUUUCCAAUGUUAUGGUUGAUUAUGGGUUUUUUACGUUUUGUGCGACCCUGAGCUUUGACUUCUAAAAUGUGGCCUUUUC